GGGUUGUGAGGUUAAGCGACUAAGCGUACACGGUGGAUGCCCUGGCAGUCAGAGGCGAUGAAGGACGUGCUAAUCUGCGAAAAGCGUCGGUAAGGUGAUAUGAACCGUUAUAACCGGCGAUGUCCGAAUGGGGAAACCCAGUGUGAUUCGUCACACUAUCGUUAACUGAAUACAUAGGUUAACGAGGCGAACCGGGGGAACUGAAACAUCUAAGUACCCCGAGGAAAAGAAAUCAACCGAGAUUCCCCCAGUAGCGGCGAGCGAACGGGGAGCAGCCCAGAGUCUGAAUCAGCUUGUGUGUUAGUGGAACGGUCUGGAAAGUCCGACGGUACAGGGUGAUAGUCCCGUACACCAAAAUGCACAGGUUGUGAACUCGAAGAGUAGGGCGGGACACGUGGUAUCCUGUCUGAAUAUGGGGGGACCAUCCUCCAAGGCUAAAUACUCCUGACUGACCGAUAGUGAACCAGUACCGUGAGGGAAAGGCGAAAAGAACCCCGGCGAGGGGAGUGAAAAAGAACCUGAAACCGUGUACGUACAAGCAGUGGGAGCACCUUCGGGUGUGACUGCGUACCUUUUGUAUAAUGGGUCAGCGACUUAUAUUCUGUAGCAAGGUUAACCGUAUAGGGGAGCCGCAGGGAAACCGAGUCUUAACUGGGCGUUAAGUUGCAGGGUAUAGACCCGAAACCCGGUGAUCUAGCCAUGGGCAGGUUGAAGGUUGGGUAACACUAACUGGAGGACCGAACCGACUAAUGUUGAAAAAUUAGCGGAUGACUUGUGGCUGGGGGUGAAAGGCCAAUCAAACCGGGAGAUAGCUGGUUCUCCCCGAAAGCUAUUUAGGUAGCGCCUCGUGAACUCAUCUUCGGGGUAGAGCACUGUUUCGGCUAGGGGGUCAUCCCGACUUACCAACCCGAUGCAAACUACGAAUACCGAAGAAUGUUAUCACGGGAGACACACGGCGGGUGCUAACGUCCGUCGUGAAGAGGGAAACAACCCAGACCGCCAGCUAAGGUCCCAAAGUCAUGGUUAAGUGGGAAACGAUGUGGGAAGGCACAGACAGCCAGGAUGUUGGCUUAGAAGCAGCCAUCAUUUAAAGAAAGCGUAAUAGCUCACUGGUCGAGUCGGCCUGCGCGGAAGAUGUAACGGGGCUAAACCAUGCACCGAAGCUGCGGCAGCGACACUAUGUGUUGUUGGGUAGGGGAGCGUUCUGUAAGCCUGCGAAGGUGACCUGUGAGGGUUGCUGGAGGUAUCAGAAGUGCGAAUGCUGACAUAAGUAACGAUAAAGCGGGUGAAAAGCCCGCUCGCCGGAAGACCAAGGGUUCCUGUCCAACGUUAAUCGGGGCAGGGUGAGUCGACCCCUAAGGCGAGGCCGAAAGGCGUAGUCGAUGGGAAACAGGUUAAUAUUCCUGUACUUGGUGUUACUGCGAAGGGGGACGGAGAAGGCUAUGUUAGCCGGGCGACGGUUGUCCCGGUUUAAGCAUGUAGGCUGAUUGUCCAGGCAAAUCCGGAUAAUCAAGGCUGAGGUGUGAUGACGAGGCACUACGGUGCUGAAGUAACAAAUGCCCUGCUUCCAGGAAAAGCCUCUAAGCAUCAGGUAACAUUAAAUCGUACCCCAAACCGACACAGGUGGUCAGGUAGAGAAUACCAAGGCGCUUGAGAGAACUCGGGUGAAGGAACUAGGCAAAAUGGUGCCGUAACUUCGGGAGAAGGCACGCUGGUGUGUAGGUGAAGUCCCUGCGGAUGGAGCUGAGACCAGUCGAAGAUACCAGCUGGCUGCAACUGUUUAUUAAAAACACAGCACUGUGCAAACACGAAAGUGGACGUAUACGGUGUGACGCCUGCCCGGUGCCGGAAGGUUAAUUGAUGGGGUUAUCCGUAAGGAGAAGCUCUUGAUCGAAGCCCCGGUAAACGGCGGCCGUAACUAUAACGGUCCUAAGGUAGCGAAAUUCCUUGUCGGGUAAGUUCCGACCUGCACGAAUGGCGUAAUGAUGGCCAGGCUGUCUCCACCCGAGACUCAGUGAAAUUGAACUCGCUGUGAAGAUGCAGUGUACCCGCGGCAAGACGGAAAGACCCCGUGAACCUUUACUAUAGCUUGACACUGAACAUUGAGCCUUGAUGUGUAGGAUAGGUGGGAGGCUUUGAAGCGUGGACGCCAGUCUGCGUGGAGCCAACCUUGAAAUACCACCCUUUAAUGUUUGAUGUUCUAACGUUGGCCCCUGACCGGGGUUGCGGACAGUGUCUGGUGGGUAGUUUGACUGGGGCGGUCUCCUCCCAAAGCGUAACGGAGGAGCACGAAGGUUAGCUAAUCCUGGUCGGACAUCAGGAGGUUAGUGCAAUGGCAUAAGCUAGCUUGACUGCGAGCGUGACGGCGCGAGCAGGUGCGAAAGCAGGUCAUAGUGAUCCGGUGGUUCUGAAUGGAAGGGCCAUCGCUCAACGGAUAAAAGGUACUCCGGGGAUAACAGGCUGAUACCGCCCAAGAGUUCAUAUCGACGGCGGUGUUUGGCACCUCGAUGUCGGCUCAUCACAUCCUGGGGCUGAAGUAGGUCCCAAGGGUAUGGCUGUUCGCCAUUUAAAGUGGUACGCGAGCUGGGUUUAGAACGUCGUGAGACAGUUCGGUCCCUAUCUGCCGUGGGCGCUGGAGAAUUGAGGGGGGCUGCUCCUAGUACGAGAGGACCGGAGUGGACGCAUCACUGGUGUUCGGGUUGUCAUGCCAAUGGCACUGCCCGGUAGCUAAAUGCGGAAGAGAUAAGUGCUGAAAGCAUCUAAGCACGAAACUUGCCCCGAGAUGAGUUCUCCCUGAGACUAUAAGUCUCCUGAAGGAACGUUAAAGACGAUGACGUUGAUAGGCCGGGUGUGUAAGCGCAGCGAUGCGUUGAGCUAACCGGUACUAAUGAACCGUGAGGCUUAACCUUACAACGCCGAAG
rnacentral:rRNA from 1 species